CUGACAGUUUGUGGGGGAAGGGCCCAACUGGGAGUGGCAGUUGGGUCUUGUGACUAGCACUUCCUUCCUGCUGGGAGUGGCAGUUGGGUCUUGUGACUAGCACUUCCUUCCUGCCUGGUGUGGCAGUUGGGUCCUGGGGACUAGCACUUCCUUCCUGCGGGGGUGGUCUUGCUUCCAGGUAUUGGAGGAGAGAGGAGCUUGUUCAGCCCAGUCUGAAGUGGCAUGCUCUUCUUGGUUGAGCCCAAAGACACAGGCUUCUAAAGAGACCCCAGAAGUUCUCCCCAGACAUCAGACCCAGGAUUUCUAGGUCAUACACAGUCCUCUCCUGAUCAGGAAGCUAAGGAUUCUGAGAGGAAAGGAUUGGAGGAAUACAUUACAAACAUGGGGGCAACCUGAAUAAAGACAUGGCGAUUGGAGAUGGAAUGUUCACUCUGGAGAACAACAAAUAGUUCCUUUCAUCUGAAUCAGCCUUCUUGCAUUUAUCAACCAGGGAAAAGAAAGACAACUAUCCCUAACACUCUUCAGUUUCAAAGGAACAAGCAAGAAACAACGAACUCCUCAGCUCCGAGGAGUACUUUGAUCUCCUUGGAAAAUGGGCACCAUGAAAACAAGAUGCUUCCUUUCUUGAGGAUUGUUUUUCUAUGUUCCUAUUUUUCUCCUUUUAAAACAAAGCUCUCAUCAGAAAAUGAGUAA
rnacentral:lncRNA from 1 species